rnacentral:rRNA from 1 species
AUACGGAGGGUACAAGCGUUACUCGGAAUCACUGGGCGUAAAGCGCGCGCAGGCGGCUAUUUAAGUUGGAUGUGAAAGCCUACGGCUCAACCGUAGAACUGCAUCCAAAACUAUUUAGCUAGAGUGUGGGAGAGGAAGAUGGAAUUAGUUGUGUAGGGGUAAAAUCCGUAGAGAUAACUAGGAAUACCAAAAGCGAAGGCAAUCUUCUGGAACAGUACUGACGCUGAGGCGCGAAAGCGUGGGGAGCAAACAGGAUUAGAAACCCUAGUAGUCC